AACGAACGCUGGCGGCAUGCCUAACACAUGCAAGUCGAACGAGACCUUCGGGUCUAGUGGCGCACGGGUGCGUAACGCGUGGGAACCUGCCCUUAGGUUCGGAAUAACUCUCCUACAGGGGUGCUAAUACCGGAUAAUUUCUUCGGACCAAAGAUUUAUCGACUUUGGUUGGGCCCGCGUUGGUUUAGCUAGUUGGUAGGGUAAAAGCCUACCAAGGCGACGAUCCAUAGCUGGUCUGAGAGGAUGAUCAGCCACACUGGGACUGAGACACGGCCCAGACUCCUACGGGAGGCAGCAGUGGGGAAUAUUGGACAAUGGGCGAAAGCCUGAUCCAGCAAUGCCGCGUGAGUGAUGAAGGCCUUAGGGUUGUAAAGCUCUUUUACCCGGGAUGAUAAUGACAGUACCGGGAGAAUAAGCUCCGGCUAACUCCGUG
rnacentral:rRNA from 1 species